AGAGUUUGAUUAUGGCUCAGGAUGAACGCUGGCGGCGUGCUUAACACAUGCAAGUCGAACGAGCUACUUUCACGAUCCCCUCGGGGGUGACGAGUUGUAAGCGAGUGGCGGACGGGUGAGUAACGCGUGGGCAACCUGCCCCAUACAGGGGGAUAACAGUUGGAAACGACUGACAAUACCGCAUAAGCGCACAGUACCGCAUGGUACGGUGUGAAAAACUCCGGUGGUAUGGGAUGGGCCCGCGUCUGAUUAGCUAGUUGGUGAGGUAACGGCCCACCAAGGCGACGAUCAGUAGCCGACCUGAGAGGGUGACCGGCCACAUUGGGACUGAGACACGGCCCAAACUCCUACGGGAGGCAGCAGUGGGGAAUAUUGCACAAUGGGGGAAACCCUGAUGCAGCGAACCGCCGCGUGAGUGAUGAAGUAUUUCGGUAUGUAAAGCUCUAUCAGCAGGGAAGAACAAUGACGGUACCUGACUAAGAAGCCCCGGCUAACUACGUGCCAGCCGCUGC
rnacentral:rRNA from 1 species